rnacentral:rRNA from 1 species
UACGUAGGGGGCGAGCGUUGUCCGGAGUUACUGGGCGUAAAGCGCACGCAGGCGGUCUGCUAAGUUUGGAGUGACAGUUGGUGGCUUAACUGCCAAAGUGCUUCGAAAACUGACAGACUUGAGGGCUUCAGAGGGACACGGAAUUCCGGGUGGAGUGGUGAAAUGCGUAGAGAUCCGGAGGAACACCGACGGCGUAAGCAGCGCCCUAAACGAGUACUGACGCUCAGGCACGAAAGCUGGGGGAGCAAACAGG